ensembl:lncRNA
GCUGUUGUUUCCUGGGUGGGUGUGUUUCUGGGUGGACCAGCGGAGGGGUCAACGGGGGCGAGAGGAUCCAGCUCCGUCACCCCUCCAGCAGCUGACACACCCCAGAUGGCAUCGCGGAGAUUAGCAGAGGCCCUGCUGAAGGGCGUGGGGAGGGGUUAAUCCCCAGGGGAUUCCUGGAGGAGCCCCGGAGGCCAGGGGCAACGGCAACCUGCCCUGCCAUGUCCACUGCCCAGGGUUGCUGGGAGACCAAAGGGAGUGGCGUCUGGCAGCGGAAUUUCUGAACCCCUGGCGUUUUCUGUGAGUGGAACACGAUGACCAUUGUUUCUGCCCUCGCGCCUGGCGUCGCUUUAGACCUUCCUGGCACACGCAGUGGACUUUGUUGCUUGGAACUUGUUCUCUUGGCCAACUCCUGUUUGUCUGGAAUCUAAACUGGAUGCUCACACAGCACACAACCACCCACCAAGCCUGGGGUGGACUCAGAGGCAGGAUGAGAUCCUGAAAGGCUUCCCGGAUCUCCUGGGAAACUCUGUGCACAAGAGAAAGGCUACCCCUCUCACCAGCCAGGGGCACUGGUAGCCAUCACCUCUACAGCGAUGGAUGUCAUAUGAAGAUAUUGUGGGUCAGAGUGAAGAAAAGGAAAGGGGUGGACUUGGAGUCCCAGAAAAGGAAGAAGAAAAUGG